AUUUCUUAUUCCCAUUGUUUUUCAAACAAAAAGAAGCAGAAUGCUUCUUCUUCCCUGCUCCCUUUCCAUUUUUCUUUGCUAGGAAUUCAACCUAGCUUGCACCACCCUGGAGGAUCAUUGGUGCCACGCACCUCCACCCCACCGCCGGUUCACGGAUCAAGACCAGAUAUAGCUGCGAAAAUCUCGGAAUCGAGAGGCGUGGCGGAGUGGGACGCUGGUGAGAGGCGUGCGGCGCGAGGACUCAUGCAACAACUUUGAGUCUCUGUUCGUUUGGGCCUUGUUUGGGUCUAUUUUUGUGCCUAUUUUUCUUGUAUUGGAUCAUGGCAUGAAUUUGGUCCUACAGUGUACUACAACCUUUUUGCCAUCUGUCAAGUUAGUAUAAGGGCAAAAUUAGAAAUUUUGCAUCGAGGAGGGCAAGAUCAAAUAAAAAAAGUUGGGAGGGGCCAUAGUUAAAAA